rnacentral:rRNA from 1 species
AACGAACGCUGGCGGCGUGGAUAAGACAUGCAAGUCGAACGGGACAACAUCUGUAGCAAUACAGGUGUUGUUUAGUGGCGAACGGGUGCGUAACACGUGGGCAAUCUGCCGAGAAGUGGGGGAUAGCUCGCCGAAAGGCGAAUUAAUACCGCAUAUGAUCAGUGAAGACAUCUUCACGACAUCAAAGCCGGGGCAACCUGGCGCUUCUUGAUGAGCCCGCGGCCUAUCAGCUAGUUGGUGAGGUAACGGCUCACCAAGGCUUUGACGGGUAGCUGGUCUGAGAGGACGACCAGUCACACUGGAACUGAGACACGGUCCAGACACCGUA